UACGAAGGGGGCUAGCGUUGUUCGGAAUUACUGGGCGUAAAGCGCGCGCAGGCGGCUCUUCAAGUCAGGGGUGAAAGCCCAGAGCUCAACUCUGGAACUGCCUUUGAGACUGAAGAGCUUGAGUACGGGAGAGGUGAGUGGAAUUCCCAGUGUAGAGGUGAAAUUCGUAGAUAUUGGGAAGAACACCGAUGGCGAAGGCAGGUCACUGGGCCGCAACGUGACGCUGAGGAGCGAAAGCGUGGGGAGCGAACAGG
rnacentral:rRNA from 1 species